AUGAAGAUACAUUCCAUUCUGGUAGGUCCUUUCCUGUUCUGAGCCUCCAGAUCUCCACUGAGUCAAUGGUCUUUUUUGCAUCCUGACCUGCAGAAGAUACGGCUUAUUAUGAUAAAUCAUGUGCUAGUAUUAUGGGACCUUGCUCUGACUCACUUGUGGAUAAUGUUAACAGCAUUCCAUUGUCACUGGCCUUAGAGGAUGCUCUGUCAGAGUGCAAGAUGUGCAUCCCAUUUGGCAGUGGGACAGGACCGCUUGGACGGUUUCACACUGAGUUUGUGACAAUGGAUUCCCAGUUUUGCGGUUCUCCAGAGGCUUGGAGCCAUGGCCAAGUGACAAGGGUAGCUUCUCGUAUACGAGGUCUGUGGGCACUGUCUUGGUUUUGCCUUCCUGUCGUCCAUACUCUCACAGCUGCAGGGGAUUUCUCCAGAUCUCAGGCUGUCCUCUUGAGAAGUCACUUCAACUUAACAGCUCAGCUGGAAAGAACUGGAAAGGACAGAUACUUGAUCCAAGCUGAUCCCUUGGCUUACGUUCCGAACACAGCAUCCAGCCGAAAAGACAGCUUCUGCAAUACAGUGGGACAAGAUACCAGAGAGGAAACACAACUUUGA
rnacentral:lncRNA from 1 species